rfam:Schistosoma margrebowiei strain Zambia genome assembly, scaffold: SMRZ_contig0000096
AUCCAGCUGAUGUGUCCUAAAUAGGAUGGAACGUGCGUCCUGGAU